GACGUAGGGGGCGAGCGUUGUCCGGAUUCAUUGGGCGUAAAGCGCGCGCAGGCGGCCCGGUAAGUCGGAUGUGAAAUCCCACGGCUCAACCGUGGAACUGCACUCGAUACUGUCGGGCUAGAGGCAGGUAGGGGAGAUCGAAUUCCUGGUGUAGCGGUGAAAUGCGCAGAUAUCUGGAGGAACACCGGUGGCGAAGGCGGCAUCCUGGACCAAACUGACGCUGAAAUAGCGAAAGCCAAGGGGAGCAAACGGG
rnacentral:rRNA from 1 species